rnacentral:rRNA from 1 species
GGGGGGGGGGGGGGGGGGGGGGGGGGGGGGGGGGGGGGGGGGGGGGGGCCGGGGUGUGGGGGUGGGUCGGGGGGGGAGCGGUUGAGGAGCGCGUGAGUGGCCGGGCGUUGAGCUUUGGAUGGCGUCAGGGACCUGUGGCUAGGACCGGAGAUGAGCUCCUGCUUCAUGUGUGGUGGUUGCAAGGUGCGGCGGUUGGGGAUCGCCCCGCUGCGUAUGAGCGUGUGUGCGGGGUAGUGGCUUAGCAAGGCUUUGGUGGGUAGCCGGCCUGGGAGGGUGCCCGGCCACAUUGGGACUGAGAUACGGCCCAGACUCCUACGGGAGGCAGCAGUGGGGAAUAUUGCACAAUGGGCGGAAGCCUGAUGCAGCAACGCCGCGUGCGGGACGACGGCCUUCGGGUUGUAAACCGCUUUCGCCUGUGACGAAGCGUGAGUGACGGUAAUGGGUAAAGAAGCACCGGCUAACUACGUG